rnacentral:rRNA from 1 species
ACGGGAGGCAGCAGUGAGGAAUAUUGGUCAAUGGGCGGACGCCUGAACCAGCCAAGUCGCGUGAAGGAUGAAGGUAUUAUGUAUUGUAAACUUCUUUAGACGCAGAGAAAUAAGGGGCUCGAGAGCUCUGAUGCUAGUAUGCGUAGAAUAAGGAUCGGCUAAUUCCGUGCCAGCAGCCGCGGUAAUACGGAAGAUGCGAGCGUUAUCCGGAUUUAUUGGGUUUAAAGGGAGCGUAGGCGGUCCUUUAAGUCAGCGGUCAAAUGUCAGCGCCCAACGCUGGCCUGCCGUUGAUACUGGAGGACUUGAAUACACACAAGGAAGGUGGAAUUCGUCGUGUAGCGGUGAAAUGCUUAGAUAUGACGAAGAACUCCGAUUGCGAAGGCAGCCUUCUGGAGUGCGAUUGACGCUGAGGCUCGAAAGCGCGGGUAUCAAACAGGAUUAGAUACCCUGGUA